rfam:Hordeum vulgare subsp. vulgare, WGS project CAJW01000000 data, contig: morex_contig_102347
AUUCUACUCCCUCCGUUUCAAAUUUUUUGUCUUACAUUUGUCUAGAUAUGAAUGUAUCUAAUCAUAUUUUAGUAUUUAAAUACAUUUAUUUUUAGACAAAUUUAAGACAGAAUAUUUGGAACGGAGGGAGUACUAG